GAGACGGGACCCGAGAAAACCACGAUGGACCAUGAUACAUUCAAUGUGUCCACACGCCUCACCCUAAAUCUGCCAUGAACACAUGCCAAAAGACUCAGCCUUCAAAAAGAGAAAUGCUGUGGUGUUUCAAAAAGCUUUAUCCUGAUCGAGGGUGGGACAACAUCUGUGACUGUGUGACCUAAACGGUCGGCCGUACACCUCUGCAGAUUCUGUUUGAUGAGCCAAAUAAAGCUAUCAACGGGAGGCCUAUAAUCCUCUCAG